CGGACGGGUGAGUAAUGUCUGGGAAACUGCCCGAUGGAGGGGGAUGACUACUGGAAACGGUAGCUAAUACCGCAUAACGUCGCAAGACCAAAGAGGGGGACCUUCGGGCCUCUUGCCAUCGGAUGUGCCCAGAUGGGAUUAGCUAGUAGGUGGGGUAAAGGCUCACCUAGGCGACGAUCCCUAGCUGGUCUGAGAGGAUGACCAGCCACACUGGAACUGAGACACGGUCCAG
rnacentral:rRNA from 1 species